rnacentral:piRNA from 1 species
UAAAUGGUAAACUUAUUCCUUUGGGUCUCU